UGGCAGUCGCUGUGUUAUUAUGGCUGCAUGAGUGAUAAACAGAAAAGGAGAAAGGGAGCAUCUGUCUUGGAGAGGCAAAGAGAAUCCUAAUGUGAAUGCCAGGAACAAAUCAUAAAUCCUCCACUUCUCUGUGCCUGUCAGCCCCCUUUUUACUACCCACAUGCAGUGUGCUGCCAAACCAUAGGAGAGGGGGGACUACACACAGAUUAAACACUCGGGACAAUGUGAUGAAGGAUAUGAGGGGAGAUCACAAUAGGCUUUGAAUAAGCACAGAUAUUUGGAGCUAUUGUACAAUUCACAAUGUGAAGAUAAUAGCUUCCUUUCUGCUCUACAUUGUUCUUGCCUCACAAGCACUUUCCUAUAGCAGUGCUGCCUUGAAUACAACAGUAGAACUUAUCACCGUUUGCUGCAGAGAGCAGACAUCUCCCGUAGUGUUUUAUUUUUACCUAAACUAUAUAAUCUUUGUAGACUGCACUUCAUCUACUUCAGUGCAUCAAUCCUGAGGUCAUCCACUAAAAUCUUCCCAGCACUUAAAAAAAAAAACACUUGCCUAGGGGGCCUAGAAGAAGUAUCCAUACUCUUAAACUUUUCUACAUUUUGUCAAUUUACAACAAGAAAACUUCAAUGCUUUUUACUGGAAAUGUAUAUAAUAAAUUAACAGAAAGAGUUGCACAAUUGUGAAGUGGUUGUAGUACAUGGUUUAAUUUUUGAAACCAAUAAAAAUCUCAGGAGUGUGUUGUGCAAUUGUAUUUAGUUGUCUGAGUCAAUACCGCCUUUCACUGCAGUUACAGCAGAAAGACUUUUGGGGUAUGCCUCCACCAGCUUUAUGCAUUGUGUGUCAUAUCCACGGUGAUUGUGUGCAGGCUGGGUGUGGCCUGCAUGUGUGUGUGUUUUUCCUCUCAUUUCCAGGGUGUGACUGGCAGGUGCUGCUACACAGCUGUUGCUCAUCUGUGAGCAAUCAGCCUGGGCUUCAUAAAGAGUGGAGAACCAGAGGGAGGCGUCAGCUCGUUGGCUCACUAACGUGGUAAACAGCUCCACCUCUGCUGCUCUGAAAUCCCUGCGAUUAUUCACCUGACCUUUUUCCGUAUUUUUCUCUGCCUCCUGCUAAUUCAAGCCAUGCUCUAAUGAGUAUGGAGAUUCAAGUCUCGACGCCUCUGCUGUGAGCCUCUGCUCUGACUUCCUCCUGGACCCAGGCUUCCUGGAGUCGUGUUCUAAAUGCGGCUGAAUACCUCCACCUGCCUAUUCACCCUCCAACGGGUUCAUCCUCUUUCCAGGAGAAUCACCGAAAGGAGAGAAACACAAACUCUGUACUUUUCUCACCGCUGCACCCACCUGCCGACCUCAGCCAUCGUGGAAAAGACUUAUCCCUUCCAAAUCUCAAUGAGAACUCAGUCUCCAUUGAUCCCAAUCCUGCCCGCUGAUCCAGUCCCGGUUCCUGAUUAUUUUCUUUUUGUAUUGUUAAAUAAACUGUUAAACGCU